CGGGACGGGUGAGUAACACGUGGAUAACCUACCUAUAAGACUGGGAUAACUUCGGGAAACCGGAGCUAAUACCGGAUAAUAUAUUGAACCGCAUGGUUCAAUAGUGAAAGACAGUUUUGCUGUCACUUAUAGAUGGAUCCGCGCCGCAUUAGCUAGUUGGUAAGGUAACGGCUUACCAAGGCAACGAUGCGUAGCCGACCUGAGAGGGUGAUCGGCCACACUGGAACUGAGACACGGUCCAG
rnacentral:rRNA from 1 species